UACGUAGGGUGCGAGCGUUAAUCGGAAUUACUGGGCGUAAAGCGUGCGCAGGCGGUUUUGUAAGACAGGUGUGAAAUCCCCGGGCUUAACCUGGGAACUGCAUUUGUGACUGCAUAGCUAGAGUACGGUAGAGGGGGAUGGAAUUCCGCGUGUAGCAGUGAAAUGCGUAGAUAUGCGGAGGAACACCGAUGGCGAAGGCAAUCCCCUGGACCUGUACUGACGCUCAUGCACGAAAGCGUGGGGAGCAAACAGG
rnacentral:rRNA from 1 species